rnacentral:lncRNA from 1 species
UGCUCUUCACGGGAACUUUUAAAACUACGUUUUCCGAAGUAGAACUUACCUGAAAUUGAUGUCUACGUGAUCGUGGAAGUUCCAGGAGUCCAAAUGUGGUCUUACCUUGGACGUUUGUUUAUGUUUUAGGUGGUUUUGGGUGAGGUUGAGCGUCGGAGAGGAAGAGAGAGAGAACUGAGAGUGAGAGAGAGUCGUGAGGGAAGAGAGAGAGACAGGGUACGGGAAAGAGGGAAAGAAUUAAGGGGUGUGGGAUCCUACCCAAUCCCCAACUACAAAAUUCUAACAUAAAUUUAAAUCUAAGUCUCCACUCUACUUACCAAAUUUUAGGAGCUUAGAUAUAACGAACGUAAAAAUUAUACCUUAGUCACGUAUUAGGGGCAUUUUCGUAAUUUCACGUCCUUGGAAUUAAAAAUUCCGGGACGGGCUGUGACAAUCUCCCCUCCUUAUAGAAUUUCGUCCCCGAAAUUCCAGCAACCAACUAAAUCAUCUAUACUCAUACAAUUUCCUCGGGUAAAUCUCUCUCAUCCGAUUCUCUUUCUCCAACAUAAUUUUCUACUGAAUGAUUUCCUUCACAAAGCUUUUACCACUUACUCUGUCUCAAUUCUCAGGACCUUCUUUUUCCAAUCCAAAGUCGUCCUUGGUUCCUUAUCAAGUCGAAUCCAAUUUAAUUCUCAAUAGUUGCACCAGAAUCCCAUGUGACGAGUCUGCCACCUAGUGACAACGCAUCGAAAUAUAAUGCAUUAUGCACCUUAGACAAUUUUGAAGGCAUCAUAAACUUAUAUGCAACUUCAUCGAUUCUUUUAAUGAUCAAAACGGUCUGAUGUGUUUAAGACUUAUCUUGUCUUUCUUUCUGAAUCUUACUAUUUCUGUUCAUGGUGAAAUUCCAAAAUAUCAAACCAUUUACCUUACACACUCGAUUAGUGGCAUAUCCAUCUGUUGAUCUCUUUUGCCAUUCCUGGUUACUUCAGGUUAACUUAAAUCACCUGAAUACUUUGAGGAGACUCAUCCAUAGUCUCAGGGUCUACUAAAACUCCUUCGUGAUCGAAUCUUUCUUUUUCCCCUUCUUUCCUUGCCUUGGUUAAUUCUUAAAUUUCCUCGUCAAAUGUUUAAGUUUCGAGUACGACCUUACCAAACAGGCCUAACUUGAAAUCUAACAAGUAGAGCUUCUUCUCGAUCUCCAGUUCUCAACUUUACUUCAGUUGAUUUCCGAUCCACAAGAAGAUAAUCUUGGCAAACGUACCAAUCAUUAAUUCUUACUAGAGUCUUCUCAUCAAGUGCUUCAGCUACAACAAUUCACGAUCACCCUGAUCGUACAAUCAUAAUCACUAAGUAAUUCAAUCCACCUUUGUUGCCUCAUAUUGAAAUCCUUCCGAGUAAACAAAUAUUGGAGACUCUUUUGAUUUGUAAAAUCUUGCAUUCUUAUCAACAUAGAAUGUCUCCAUAACUUCACAGCAAGGAUGGUAAUCGUGACUUCCAAAUCACCAGUAGGGUAAUUCAUCUCAUGAGAUUCCAUUUGUCGUGAAACGUAUGCAAUCACCCUAACAUUUGCAUCAACAUGCAUCCAAUACCAUUCAAGAAACAUCACUAAAAAUUUAUGAUUACCACUAUUCUCUGGGAUUACUAAAAUACGUGCAUGAGUAAGGAAAUACUUCAGUUGUUGAAUCCUUUGCUCACAAUUUCCUUCCCAUUCAUACAUAACCUCUUUUCUCAACAGUCUCGUCAAUGACAAAAGCAAUGACUGAAAAAAAAAUUUCACAACCAUCCAAGAUAGCCUGGUAAGCUAAGAAAUUCUAAAUCUCAAUUACGACUCGUGGUUGUUCCAAAUUCUCAAUUUCUGCUAUCUUUUAAGGAUUCACUUGAAUACCUUAAGAAUAUAUAACAAAUCUCAGAAUGCCACAUGAUUCAUCUAACUUUAGCAUUUGCUACUUAGCAUACAACCGACAUUCUUCCAAUCUUUGUUCCACCGACUUAAUACGUUUACAUGUUCUGCUCUGGCUCAGAAUAUGCCAGAAUAUCUUCAAUGAAAAUGAUAUCUAUUUAUCAAGGCAUUAUUGGAAUACUUCAUCCAAUAACUCAUAAAACAACAUGAGUAUCCAUAUAGCAUCACCAAACUUCAUAAAGACUAUAACGAGUCCAGAAAAACAAUCUUAGGAACAACGUUACUCAUAAUCUUCAAUUGAUAAUAAACAGACUUCAAGUCAAUCUUUGAAAAUAUACAAGCACCUUUGAACUGAUCAAUGAGCGUCAAUACACCACAAUGGAUAACGGUUCUCAUUCGUUACCCGAUUCCAUUAUCUAUAAUCAAUGAACAAUCUCUAAGUCCAUUUCCUUUCUCACCAACAAACUGGUGCUCCUCAACAGUGUUGUACUAGGUUGAAUAAAACUUUUAUCAACCAAUUCUCUCAACUGAAUUUCCUAUUCCCUUAAUUCAUCCUGAACCAAUCUCCAAUAUAAAUUUAUACCUAGCAACAAAUCAAUAGUGAACCUCAUAUCUCUGCCUGAAGGAAAUCCAGGUAUACUUUCAAGGAAGACAUCAAGAAAGUCUAACCCCUUUUGACAUUAUUCACACUACUCCAAACAACAUCAUUUAGCACCACAUGAGCUAAGUAUUUUUGACAGCCUUUCGAAAACAAUUGCUUUGCUCUCACAGCAUAAAUAACGGCCUGACUCAAUCCAUUUUGCAUACUUACAAAAGUAAUCUCUGGUCAUCCAGAUCGAUGGAAAGUAACUGGUUUCCCGUAAUAUUCCAUCUAGUCACAACUAUAAAUAAUCAAUCUAAUGGAAUAAAAUUAACUGACCCAAUACAUACUUUAUUAUUACUGAACAUUCUAAAUAAGUACAACACUAACAUAAAAUAACAUACCGGUUUGCUUGCUUAACGAAUCCACGAAUGAGUUAUUAAUAUUACGGUCUGCAGCCCGCAAUACUGAUAAAUCAUCGUUGUCUCGAUAAGUAAGCAACAAUUCCCAAAGGUGUAAUACUAUCAUUUUUUUUUCAUUAGAAUACACAUAUACGCCUCUAUCACGUUCCAACAUUACUUUCUUUGGCAUCAUCGUCCAUACUCAGAAAUAUAUCAGCCGGAGUCAACUAGAAUGACCUGUACGGCUGAUUCUCCAGCUCAACCAUCUAUGCUAGCACAUUAGUCGGAGUCACUUAUAGUGACCUGUACGACUUACACAUCAAUUCCCCAGUAAAUACGUCGGCCGGAUCCACAUCUUGUGGUCCGUACAGCCGAGCCUAUAACUCACCAAUUUCUCAUGUGUCAGCCGGAUCCACCUCUUGUGGCCUGUACGGCUGAACAUAUAACUCAUCAAAUCUCUCGGUACUCAUGGUCAAUCCAACCAAACUACUAAGUCCAUAACUCUGCUGAAUUGACACUAUGAUAUCAUGGAAAAUUGUUGAGUACAACUGAUUAUAGGGACGAUUCACAAUUAUGUGUCCCCUCUGUUUACAUAAACACAUUCAUUAAUUUCACAUUUCCCAAAGUGUUAAUUUUUUGUACCUGCUGCACAAGGUACAUUUCCUUUACUCGAGACACCUUGUCUCAAAUAUCUGGGAUUAUCAGUAUAUCCAUCACUUUUAUUCUGACCAGCGACAUUAAAAACUCAGCUGGAAGAAUUAACUCUAGCUUCAUUUCUUUCGAAGCUCUGAAUCUUUCUAUAUCCUUGAUAUGACGAAUCAUUAACUCUAUCGUCUUCUUUUGAUUCCCAUUCAUUUCUUAUUCUUCUUUAUUCUCGUUGCUCAUGUUCUCAGAAUCCUCAAGACUCAACAACAUCUAGCAUACUCCUGAUAAGAACUACAAUGGAUAGUGGUCACCCAAAAUACCACUUCCCUUUUUGCCACCCAGCUUAAAACAACAUAACACCUCCACCAAAUUAACAACAAUAUCUGGAUGGAACGAGGCAAGUCUGAAAACUUUCUAUAAUAUCCCUCGAUCAUCACCUUCCUUGUCUCAUAUUUGUAAACUCUUGUUUACUACCAUCGAUCAAUGCCGGAGGAAUAAACUUUUCCUUAAACAAGUCCUUAAACAAUUUUAAAUCGGCUGUUCCUCCGGUGACAACAAAUCAUACUCCUGUUUCCACCAGGAUACAAAUUCAUACCCAAAACUAGGUAGUCGUCUCAACCCCUUGUCAAAAGGAAAUUUCCAUUGACUUGCAUAAUCUGAAACAUCUUUUCCAAAUGGUUAAACCGUUACUUCGCUCCCUCAGGUUCAUCAUUUCAUAAGGUGAUUCAAAUUCAACUCAUAACCCGUCUUAAAAUGUCAAUUUUUAUAAUAGACUGAAUCACCAUAAAAAUAGUUUCCCCCAAACCGCUAAAUCAGGGAGACUAAAUUCCUCUAACUACGUGGUUUGCUACGAGGCGGUGUAGUUCUGACAGAAUUCACUCGGAAAUUCUCAAGAUGUCCAGGAUGGCAACCAUGCUCUGAUACCAACUGACACACCCCGUCCCGAAGGAGGGCAUGCUGGCCGUCACGUGAGAGUGACGUAACCAUUUGCACAGUCCGGAAGCUUUAAGAUACAAUUCCUAAGUUGAUACACCCGAAAGUGAGUCCUAAUUUUGUCCAAUCUGUCAGAACACCGUCGAAUUCCUCGUAGUCACCACACCUUUGUGAUUCAUGAACCUGGAGGGGCGCAAAACCAAAAUUGAGUGGGUCAGUAAAACAAUUCUUUUUCAAAUCCAAACAUUUCUCAAAACGUUGUAACCCCUCUCCGUAAAACCUGUAUACUUUCCCAGAAAUGUAAAAUAUAAAUAUACAUAUAUAUUCUCAAUACUUCAAUUCAUUAACUCAACAUUUUUCAGUACAAAUAUGCCAUGCCAUGUCUAAAUUCAACAGUAUAAUAUGAAUGCAUCAACAUAAAUCAGGUGAAAGAAAAUAAUCAACCGGAGACCCUACAAUGGUCCUGUACGGUUGAAUCUAGAGCUCAAAAUAUCAUCUAACCGGAGUCACCAACUGUGACCUGUACGGCCAUGCCGGAGUCACCUAGUAUGACCUGUACGGCACUACACUGCACAUAAGUCGGAAUUACCUAAUGUAAUCUGUACGACUUAAUGGUGUAAUAAUAUGCUCUAGUGCUUUUCUCAUCAAUCAUCUGUGCACAUAAUCUAAGGUCACCUACCAGUCGGAACCCCUCUAAUGGUCUGUACGACUGGCAUGUCGGAACCACCCCCGGUGGUCUGUACGACUAGCAUCUACUUGGAUCCAAGGUGAGCAUACGAUGCGGUGAAUAAUAAUAAGCACUAAUACCAAGGUGCAGUUUAUGAGCUCAACAUAUCUCAACAUCAUCAUAACAGUAAUAAUACUCACCUGAUACUCACCUGUGUGUCCACAGCACCAUUUCAUAUAUAUGCAUCAUAUCUCAAUUCAUACUUUUCAUAUCAUUUCAUGCAUGGCAAUUCGAUUCACAUUUCUAUAUACUUUUCAUAUCAUUACUAUGCAUGGCAUUUCAAAUCACAUUUUUCAUAUGAAUCUAUGCAUGGCAUUUGAAAGCAUACUUCCGUUAAAUUCAAUUUCUGGGAAAACGUCAAGUACAUAUAUAUACGGAAAACAAAACUGCCCACUCACCUGGAGUUCGUCCAACAACUCCCUAGCACCACACAUCAAGGCGUCACGACGAUCGCCGCCUAGAAUAGUAAUCAAAUCCAGGCUCAGAAUUCAUAUCGAUAAAAUAUAUAACUUAUAUAAAAUACGUCACUACGUAGUUCGAUUCGGAAGAUCCACCACUCAGAUUUUAAAUCCAUAACUUCCAGAGGUCCACAUUAUACCUCUAGGACAACAUCCUAAAAUUUCAUUACCAUCCAACGGUCGGAUCUCCGUCAAUUUCCAAAACUAAGUGACGGUUAACAUUUUAUAUUAUGGACUUACAAUUCUAAUUCCGGAAGAUCCGUAACUCGGAUUCCUAAUCCAUAAGUUCCAAUAGUCCUUAAAUAUUACGUAUUGCAACGUAUCAAAGUUUGGUGACGAUCCAACGGUCGGAUCAUCAAUUCACAUUUUCACCAAAACUAUAAAACGUUAUUCGAACACCUAACCAACAAUCCUUAAUAACUUUCUCAUACGGUGCUCAAAUUGGGUAUAUGAAUAUACCACGGUGAUCUACUCGACGUCACAGACGUCGACAUAUUUUUAAAAUAUUUUUAUUUUUAUUUUUAUUUUUUACUGUAGCACCUUCUUCUUCCUUGGGUCGCCGGACUGGUUUUUCCGGCGGCCGUUUUUCCGGGCAGUUUUUCAAAUUGCCAUAACUUUGUCAUUUCUCAACGAAAUCAAGUGAUUCAAAAACGAAAGUUGUAGCCCUUGAAGAGACAAAGAGAAUGGUACCUUGCACAACACCUAGUUCGCCGUGGUUUAGCCGGAAACUGCCUCGAAAUCCUCGGAGGUCGCCGGAAACUGGGUAUUUUUCAAAUGAGUCUAACUUCUUCAAUACUCAACGAAAUUGAGUGAAACAAAAAGGAAAGUUGUAGUACUUGACGAGACGAAGAGAUUGAUACCUACCUUGACUCCUAACUCGCCGGGGAUUCGCCGGAAAAUGCCUCGAAAGCUCCGGCCAAACUUUGAACUCGUCGAUCUCCGUGUUCUUUCGUCCAAAAACUUCCAACGAAGCACUCCGAGCUUCGUGGGAACCUCCUAGAGCUCCCUGUGAGCUUAGAUUUCCCUAAAACACAACAUAUUCAAAGAUCAUGAACAGUGCUCUUCACGGGAACUUUUUAAAACUACGUUUUCCGAAGUAGAACUUACCUGAAAUUGAUGUCUACGUGAUCGUGGAAGUUCCAGGAGUCCAAAUGUGGUCUUACCUUGGACGUUUGUUUAUGUUUUAGGUGGUUUUGGGUGAGGUUGAGCGUCGGAGAGGAAGAGAGAGAGAACUGAGAGUGAGAGAGAGUCGUGAGGGAAGAGAGAGAGACAGGGUACGGGAAAGAGGGAAAGAAUUAAGGGGUGUGGGAUCCUACCCAAUCCCCAACUACAAAAUUCUAACAUAAAUUUAAAUCUAAGUCUCCACUCUACUUACCAAAUUUUAGGAGCUUAGAUAUAACGAACGUAAAAAUUAUACCUUAGUCACGUAUUAGGGGCAUUUUCGUAAUUUCACGUCCUUGGAAUUAAAAAUUCCGGGACGGGCUGUG